AAUGAACGCUGGCGGCAGGCCUAAAACAUGCAAGUCGAACGACCCAGCAAUAGGGAGUGGCGCACGGGUGCGUAACAUGCGGGAAUAUGCAUUUUGGUACGGAACAACGUUUGGAAACGAACGCUAAUACCGUCUGAUCGCUUCGGGGUAAAGAUUUAUCGCCAAAAGAUUAGCCCGCACUGGAUUAGCUAGUUGGUUAGGUAGUGGCUCACCAAGGUGACGAGCCAUAGCUGGUCUGGGAGGAUGAUCCGCCACCCUGGGACUGAGACCCGGCCCAGACUCCUACGGGAGGCAGCAGUUAGGAAUAUUGGACAAUGGGGGCAAGCUUGAUCCAGCCAUGCCGCGUGAGUGAUGAAGGCCUUCGGGUUGUAAAGCUCUUUAGCAGACGAUUAUAAUGACUGUAGUCGGAGAAUAAGCCCCGGCUAACUUCGUGCCAGCCGCCGCGGUAA
rnacentral:rRNA from 1 species